rnacentral:lncRNA from 1 species
GAGCAACACGUGACUCGGGCUGUGUCUGAAAGACUCACCUUGGGACUCUGGCUUUCUCACAGGGAGGCUUAAGCCUGACAGACGCACCUCCUGCCAUCCUGCACUCCCACCCUGGUCGGCGAUGCCCUGAGGGAAGGGACCGUCGCUCUGCAUGUCUGUGCUUACUCACCCCACCCACACGUGGGGCCUGUGAUUCCCACGUCCCCCUGGAGGAAACUGCCUCUUUGCACUGUACACCACGUCAUCUCCCCGCCUCCUCGCUGGACUCGGAGCUUCUCACUUGCUGGCCGUGGGCCGGGUGGGUCUACAGGGAUAAAGAAUGUGCACGCCAGACGUGAUGUUCGUUUUCUGAUAAUCAAUGGAUUUUAUGCAUCUGCCAAGAGUUGUGAACGGGCGAUAUGAUAUAUAGAUAGUCGGCAACUAAAUUUCAUCUCGCUCAUCAGUGCUGAUGGACAGGAAGUGGAUGCAGGUAGGUUGUGUGGAGAGAAACAUGGGGCCGGCCCUGGUGUCUGCAGGAAGAGUGAGGUGGUGGACCAGCAGGGUCCACCCUGGGGUCCAGACAGGCCAACAGCCAUGGUUUCCUACUCCCGACACCUGACACCUGCAGCAGAGGGAGCUCCCCCGGGCUUGCUCCUACCCACCCCCUCCCCGGCCCAGCCUCCCUGGGGUACCUGAGUCUCUCUGAGAGCAGCCUGCACCCAAGUCAUUGGGUCACUGGGCGUGUGGCUGGCAUGCAGGUGCUGGUGCAGUGCGUGGGUGGGGCCGAGAUCCUGGGUUUCCAACCAGCUCCGAGGUGGUGUCUGCCAACCACGUGGGGUAGAGAGGAUCUACAGUAAAUGAAUGAAGAGACCCUGACUCAGAGCCCAUCACCUUCUAAUGAUAAAAGUGUGACCAUCGCCCCC